CCAAAGGGAGACCAGUGUCCACGGAGCUCCCAAGUGUUCCCUGCAGCUCCAUGAAGAGGCAUAGUGGGAACGACGUUUAUAAACUAAGGGCUACAUCCCUCAGGUUUGGAGUGACCUGGUUGGGGGAGACAGCCUUGAGAAGAGGAGAAGGAAGUCGCCAUGAGGGCAGAUGGAUGAUGAGCACACGGCCAGGAGAAACAGCAGUUUCAAGAUCAUCAGACCAUUCUCUGCCUUUUGGUAUCCACACUACAACUUCAUCUGAAAGAAAACCAAUAAAAAACAGAGCAAGUUUG
rnacentral:lncRNA from 1 species